rnacentral:rRNA from 1 species
UACAGAGGUCUCAAGCGUUGUUCGGAUUCAUUGGGCGUAAAGGGUGCGUAGGCGGCGCGGUAAGUCGGGUGUGAAAUCUCGGAGCUUAACUCCGAAACUGCAUUCGAUACUGCCGUGCUUGAGGACUGGAGAGGAGACUGGAAUUUACGGUGUAGCGGUGAAAUGCGUAGAUAUCGUAAGGAAGACCAGUGGCGAAGGCGGCGAUCUGGGAAGAUACUGACGCUGAGGUGCGAAAGCGUGGGGAGCAAACAGG